rnacentral:rRNA from 1 species
UUCGAAGGGGGCUAGCGUUGCUCGGAAUCACUGGGCGUAAAGGGCGCGUAGGCGGCCAUUCAAGUCGGGUGUGAAAGCCCUGGGCUCAACCCAGGAAGUGCACUCGAUACUGCCUCGCUAGAGUCCCGGAGAGGUUGGUGGAACUCUCGGUGUAGUGGUGAAAUUCGUAGAUAUCGAGAAGAACACCGGUGGCGAAGGCGGCCAACUGGACGGUGACUGACACUGAGACGCGAAAGCGUGGGGAGCAAACAGG